GGUGGCUCAGUGGUAGAGUGCUUGUAUUGGAUGCAUGAGGUCCUGGGUUCGAUUCCUCAGCACCA
rnacentral:tRNA from 1 species